GUUCAUUUGUUGCUUCCGUAAAGCAAUCCGCCCUUUUCCCGAAUUUCCCUCACCGAAUUUGCAUAUUUAACUCGGUAAAUUUGGUGAGCAAACUGGUAUUUGAAGCUUGACAAUGUCACCCACUUGAACGUUCAUCCAUUUUUCACUCUUCAACCUGUUUGAAACCAUGACUUUUUAAUUGAUCACAAAUUCAUUUUGGAAAAUGCAUUUGGUAAAAAGAUAAAGUAACGUCAGGAUGAACAUGGGAACAAAAAAGCAACAGAGGGAUCAUAUGAAUGGACAGUCAAACACGUUGUUGUCUGUAUUGGACAUAAACAGGAAGUGGACUCACAAUGUCAUCAGAGAGAUCUUUGGCUAGAGUUAUAGACAGCAC